CCUCGGGUGGCUGCAGUGGGGAAUUUUGGACAAUGGGGGCAACCCUGAUCCAGCCAUGCCGCGUGAGUGAAGAAGGCCUUCGGGUUGUAAAGCUCUUUCGGCCGGGAAGAAAUCGCUCAAGCUAAUACCUUGGGUGGAUGACGGUACCGGAAGAAGAAGCACCGGCUAACUACGUGCCAGCAGCCGCGGUAAUACGUAGGGUGCGUGCGUUAAUCGGAAUUACUGGCAGUAGAGCGUGCGCGGGAGGCGCGAAAUCCCCGGGCUUAACCUGGGAACUGCGUUUGUGACUGUGGUGCUCGAGUGCGGCAGAGGGGGGUGGAAUUCCACGUGUAGCAGUGAAAUGCGUAGAGAUGUGGAGGAACACCGAUGGCGAAGGCAGCCCCCUGGGUCGACACUGACGCUCAUGCACGAAAGCGUGGGGAGCAAACAGGAUUAGAUACCCCUGUAGUC
rnacentral:rRNA from 1 species